UCACAAUUAAGUAUCUUCUUUGUUGAACGUUGUGUCGGGCGGUAAGCUAUGUUCAAUCUUCUUCAUUUGUUCACAGCAUAGUCUUACUGUCGAAGUUUUGCUAAGCUGUUGGAGUUCUAUUGUCUCUUUUUCAAAAUAAACCGUGAAAGCGUGGCCUAUCGAUCCUGUUGACUCUAAACAUUUUAAGCAAGAGGUGUCAGAAAAGUUACCACAGAAAUAACUGGCUUGUGGCGGCCAAGCGUUCGUAGCGACGUCGCUUUUUGAAUCUUCGAUGUCGGCUCUUUCUAUCAUUGCGAUGCAGCUGUCGCCCGCUAACAGGGGACGUGAGCUGGGUUUAGACCGUCGUGAAACAAAUUAGUUUUAUCCUACUGAUGACUGGUUGUUGCAAUGAUAAUCCUGCUCAGUACGAGAGGAACCGCAGGUUCGGACAUUUGGCACACGUGCUUGGUCGAGCGGCCAAUGGUGCGAAGCUACCAUCCGUGGGACUAUGACUGAACGCCUCUAAGUCAGCAUCCCGUCCAGAUCUGCAACGAUACCUUGGCGCCUCCUUGUUGUUCGGCAAAAACACGAUCAGCUUCACCGCAGAGCCGUGCUAUGUCACACUGAUGGAGCCUUGCGCCGAACUAGCGAAGUAACUACGCUAGCUCGGCCGGCUUCUGGUCACACACCAGAUAAACGUGAAGGCGAGAAAUCGUCGGUAGACGACCUUAGUACCGGUCGGGGUAUCUGAUGAGACUCAUCCUUUGACCGGAAGAUUU
rnacentral:ncRNA from 1 species